rnacentral:tRNA from 1 species
UGGUGAAACUCAGUGGCAGAGUGCAUGCUUCGUAUGUAUGAUGUCCAGGGUUCAAUCCCCAGAGUUUGUUUG